GAUGAACGCUGGCGGCGUGCCUAAUACAUGCAAGUCGAGCGAACAGACGAGGAGCUUGCGCGUCUGACGUUAGCGGCGGACGGGUGAGUAACACGUGGAUAACCUACCUAUAAGACUGGGAUAACUUCGGGAAACCGGAGCUAAUACCGUAGAAGAUAUUGAAGCGCAUGGUUCAAUAGUGAAAUACGGUGGUGCUGUAUCUUAUAGAUGGAUCUGGGCCGCAUUAGCUAGUUGGUAAGGUAACGGCUUAUCAAGGCAACGAUGCGUAGACGACCUGAGGGGGUGAUAGGCCACACUGGAACUGAGACACGGUCCAGAGUCCUACGGGAGGCAGCAGUAGGGAAUCUUCCGCAAUGGGCGAAAGCUUGACGGAGCAACGCCGAGUGAGUGAUGAAGGUCUGCGGAUCGUAAAAAUCUGUUAUUAGGGAAGAACAAAUGUGUAAGUAACUAUGCACGUAUUGACGGUAACUAAUCAGAAAGCAACGGCUAACUACGUG
rnacentral:rRNA from 1 species